GACCGUGCGAAGGUAGCAUAAUCAUUAGUCUUUUAAUUAAAGGCUGGAAUGAAGGGUUGGACAAGAAAUUGACUGUCUUAUAAAUUAGAAUUGAAAUUGACUUUUAAGUGAAAAGGCUUAAAUUUUUUUCAAAGACGAUAAGACCCUAUAAAAUUUUACACUGUAUAGGUUAGUUAUUAAAUUAUUUAUGUAACUUUAUUAUCUUAAUAUGUGUUUCGUUGGGGUGAUGAAAGUAUAAAUUUAACUGCUUUAUGUUAUAAACAAAUAUAUUUGAUGGUUUGUUGAUCCUUUGUUAAAGAUUAAAGAAAAAAUUACUUUAGGGAUAACAGCGUUAUUUUUUUUGAGAGCUCUUAUCGACAAAAAAGUUUGCGACCUCGAUGUUGAAUUAAAAAUUUCUUUAUGAUGUAGCAGUUAUAAAAGAAGGUCUGUUCGACCUU
rnacentral:rRNA from 1 species